AGAGUUUGAUCCUGGCUCAGGAUGAACGCUAGCGGCAGGCCUAAUACAUGCAAGCCGAACGGUAACUUGGAUAGCAAUAUUUGAGCUAGAGUGGCGUAAGGGUGCGUAACACGUAUGCAAUCUGCCCGCAACAGGAGAAUAGCUCCCCGAAAGGGGAAUUAAUACUCCAUAAGAUCACGAGAGGGCAUCUGAUAGUGAUUAAACUACAAGGGGUUGCGGAUGAGCAUGCGGUUGAUUAGCUAGUUGGCGGGGUAAAGGCCCACCAAGGCGAUGAUCAAUAGGGGAACUGAGAGGUUUAUCCCCCACACUGGCACUGAGAUACGGGCCAGACUCCUACGGGAGGCAGCAGUAGGGAAUAUUGGACAAUGGGCGAGAGCCUGAUCCAGCCAUGCCGCGUGCAGGAAGAAGGCCUUCUGGGUUGUAAACUGCUUUUACCAGGGGAUAAAAAGUCCCUGCGGGGAAAAUUGAAGGUACCUGGUGAAUAAGCCACGGCUAACUACGUGCCAGCAGCCGCGGUAAUACGUAGGUGGCAAGCGUUGUCCGGAUUUAUUGGGUUUAAAGGGUGCGUAGGCGGUUUUAUAAGUCAGUGGUGAAAUACGGCAGCUCAACUGUCGAGGUGCCAUUGAUACUGUGAGACUUGAGUACAGACGAGGUAGGCGGAAUUGACGGUAGCGGUGAAAUGCUUAGAUAUCGUCAAGAACACCGAUAGCGAAGGCAGCUUACUAGGCUGUAACUGACGCUGAGGCACGAAAGUGUGGGGAUNNAACAGGAUUAGAUACCCNNGUAGUCC
rnacentral:rRNA from 1 species